AUUGAACGCUGGCGGCAUGCCUAACACAUGCAAGUCGAACGAGUGGCGGACGGGUGAGUAAUGCUUGAGAAUCUGGCUGAUGGAGGGGGCUAACUACGGGAAACUUUAGCUAAUACCGCUUACAAUAGGCUCGGCCCCAGUGGGAUUAGGUAGUUGGUGAGGUAAAGGCACACCAAUGCGACGAUCCAUAGCUGGUCCGAGAGGCUGACCAGCCACACGGGGACGGAGACACGGCCCAGACUCCUACGGGAGGCAGCAGUGGGGAAUAUUGCACAAUGGGCGCAAGCCUGAUGCAGCCAGGCCGCGUGUAUGAAGAAGGCCUUCGGGUUGUAAAGUACUGUCAGUCGGGAGGCGGUACCGACAGAAGAAGCACCGGCUAACUACGUGCCAGCAGCCGCGGUAAUAC
rnacentral:rRNA from 1 species